CGACCGGCGCACGGGUGAGUAACGCGUAUCCAACCUGCCCACCACUUGGGAUAACCUUGCAAAGUAAGACUAAUACCCAAUGAUAUCUCUAGAAGACAUCUGAAAGAGAUUAAAGAUUUAUCGGUGAUGGAUGGGGAUGCGUCUGAUUAGCUUGUUGGCGGGGUAACGGCCCACCAAGGCAACGAUCAGUAGGGGUUCUGAGAGGAAGGUCCCCCACAUUGGAACUGAGACACGGUCCAA
rnacentral:rRNA from 1 species